CAGGUAUUUGAAUUUGAGUUGUCUUCAGAAGACAUGAAAAGUCUAGAUGGAUUGAACAGGAAUGUUCGAUAUUAUCCUGCCGAUUUCUUUAUUGGACACCAAAAUUAUCCAUUUUCUGAUGAAUAUUAACCUGAAGACCUUUAUUAUAAUUUCUACUACAAGUUCCUUCCUGUGGACCAUGGUGUAGGGGACAUGGCAGAUGUUGGUGACUGGGCACCCUCUUCUGGUUAAUGCUUUCCUUAGCAACUUGCCCUUGGCCAGAUUUGUACCCAUAGGACAUAAAUUCAUGACUGUAAAGCUUUGUCAUUGUGGAAAACUAAAUGAUCUUUUAUUAAAAAUUUUACCUACACUCUUA